rnacentral:sRNA from 1 species
AUUGUUGUCUUAUGCUUUCAGGAAAAAUAUCCAAGCUAAAUGAGGUUUCCUGAGAAAAGUGUUUGUCUCACAUGGAAAAGCCAUUGUCUAAGAUUAUACAUAUUAAGCACCAGUGUUCAGACAUAGGUUAACUUCCUAGAUAGACGAUUGAGGACCAAUAGUGUCAACGGAAAAAAAUCUACGCCAUGAAUAUUGCUUUAAUCAAUACUGGUUUAGAAAUGAUAAUGAAACUCUGGUACAUUUUUUAUUGAUCGUGUGGUUUUCAUGUAUUCUCCCAAAAAUGAAGAUAUGAGAGAAUUAAUACACUUUUUACGUGUACAUGUACGUGUAAAUUCAGUAGCAUUGAAAGUUGGGUUAUACAAUGUACAUAUUUUGCUGUUUUAAUGUUCCUAAACGAUCAUAUUGCCUUGUUCAUAUUAAUAUUUAAAUGUUUUAGUAAUACUCAAUAAAAAGUCAGAGUCU